rnacentral:rRNA from 1 species
ACGGGAGGCAGCAGUGGGGAAUAUUGCACAAUGGGCGCAAGCCUGAUGCAGCGAUGCCGCGUGAGGGAAGAAGGUUUUCGGAUUGUAAACCUCUGUCAACAGGGACGAAAAUGACGGUACCUGUGAAGGAAGCUCCGGCUAACUACGUGCCAGCAGCCGCGGUAAUACGUAGGGAGCAAGCGUUAUCCGGAUUUAUUGGGUUUAGAGGGUGCGUAGGCGGAUGAUUAAGUCAGUGGUGAAAGGUCCCGGCUCAACCGGGGAGCUGCCAUUGAUACUGGUUGUCUUGAAUGCGGAUGCCGUGGGAGGAAUGUGUGGUGUAGCGGUGAAAUGCAUAGAUAUCACACAGAACACCGAUUGCGAAGGCAUCUCACGAAUCCGUUAUUGACGCUGAGGCACGAAAGCGUGGGGAUCAAACAGGAUUAGAUACCCUGGUA